GACGAACGCUGGCGGCGUGCUUAACACAUGCAAGUCGAGCGAUGAAGCACCUUCGGGUGUGGAUUAGCGGCGAACGGGUGAGGAACACGUGAAGAAUCUGCCUUCAACUCUGGGGUAACUCCGGGAAACCGGGGCUAAUACCGGAUAUGAGCCUUGGCCGCAUGGCCGGGGCUGGAAAGUUUUUCGGUUGAAGAUGACUUCGCGGCCUAUCAGCUUGUUGGUGAGGUAAUGGCUCACCAAGGCGACGGCGGGUAGCCGGCCUGAGAGGGCGACCGGCCACACUGGGACUGAGACACGGCCCAGACUCCUACGGGAGGCAGCAGUGGGGAAUAUUGGGCAAUGGAGGAAACUCUGACCCAGCGACGCCGCGUGAGGGAUGAAGGCCUUCGGGUUGUAAACCUCUUUCAGUAGGGAAGAAGCGAAAGUGACGGUACCUACAGAAGAAGCACCGGCUAACUAUGUGCCAGCCGCCGCGGUAA
rnacentral:rRNA from 1 species